GGCUGUGUAGCUCAGUGGUACAGUGCUUGCCUGGCAAACAUGAUGCCCCAGCUUCAAUCCCUAGCACUACUA
rnacentral:tRNA from 1 species